GACUGGGAUAGCUCCGUCGGUAGAGCAUGAGACUCCUAAUCUCAAAGUUGUGGGUUCGAGUCCCACGUUGGGCA